rnacentral:rRNA from 3 species
AAACGACUCUCGGCAACGGAUAUCUCGGCUCUCGCAUCGAUGAAGAACGUAGCGAAAUGCGAUACUUGGUGUGAAUUGCAGAAUCCCGUGAACCAUCGAGUCUUUGAACGCAAGUUGCGCCCGAAGCCACUAGGCCGAGGGCACGCCUGCCUGGGCGUCACGCA